rnacentral:other from 1 species
CACACCCUACGAUGUUCGCGAAGAGCGGUUAGUUUUGAGCCAACAUCAAAACAUUUGGAGUCUUAUAUUUGUCUGUUUGUAGAUCUCUUUUUCUAGAACAUCUAUGGCUGACGUGCGGACACCACCCUGCGCUCGGCAGGUUCAAAAAUACCGUUUGGAACGGCAUUGUGGGGAUGA